rnacentral:rRNA from 1 species
CCUACGGGGGGCUGCAGUGGGGAAUAUUGGACAAUGGGGGGGAACCCUGAUCCAGCCAUGCCGCGUGUGUGAAGAAGGCCCUCGGGUUGUAAAGCACUUUCAGUGAGGAAGAACGCCUGGUGGUUAAUACCCAUCAGGAAAGACAUCACUCACAGAAGAAGCACCGGCUAACUCCGUGCCAGCAGCCGCGGUAAUACGGAGGGUGCGAGCGUUAAUCGGAAUUACUGGGCGUAAAGCGCGCGUAGGUGGCUUGAUAAGCCGGUUGUGAAAGCCCCGGGCUCAACCUGGGAACGGCAUCCGGAACUGUCAAGCUAGAGUGCAGGAGAGGAAGGUAGAAUUCCCGGUGUAGCGGUGAAAUGCGUAGAGAUCGGGAGGAAUACCAGUGGCGAAGGCGGCCUUCUGGACUGACACUGACACUGAGGUGCGAGAGCGUGGGUAGCAAACAGGAUUAGAUACCCCUGUAGUC